rnacentral:rRNA from 1 species
UACAGAGGGUGCGAGCGUUGUCCGGAAUCACUGGGCGUAAAGGGCGCGUAGGUGGUGGCUUAAGCGUGCGGUGAAAGCUCGGGGCUCAACUCCGAGUCGGCCGUGCGAACUGGGCUCACUGGAGCAUAGUAGAGGCAGGUGGAAUUCCGGGUGUAGCGGUGGAAUGCGUAGAUAUCUGGAGGAACACCGGUGGCGAAGGCGGCAUCCUGGACCAAUUCUGACGCUGAGGAGCGAAAGCCAGGGGAGCAAACGGGG